CCACACCCAUCAUAGACCUUGAACAGUUCAUGGCUGCUCUUCUGGUUUGUUCUAGGAUGUAAAAGAAAAUGCUUCCUAUGCUUUCUGAAUGUCUUUGUGCUCAAGGUUGAAGUAGGGAGUACAUCU